ensembl:lncRNA
AAAAUCGAUUAAAAAACUCACAACUUGAAAUCACUCUUCCAGUCGUUACUCUUCUUCAGGCAAAUGUGGACACAAAUAACAGUUAACGACCUCACUUAAUUCACCAAUGGAAAUAACACGCUUUGAUAAAUAGACCUCGAAAAGGCUGCGUUAACAGAUAGCAUCUACGGUCUGACACGAUUUCCGUUAUAAUUAUCUUUAUUAGCAUGAAUAUUUUACAGAUGCGAGCAUUCUUAUAAAGUGUUUUUUCUCCACACAACCGCAACUAUUUCCAGAGAAAAUCAACAGAAUGAACCACUGCUCUGUUUGCCCAUUUAGAGUUUUAAUGUCCAUUGAUGGGUAUUAGCUCUGAAGCGGUUAAGUUUUAUCCAUGUUAAAGUAUAGCACAGUACAUGGGCUUAUAGUCGCUUGGGAUAAGGGUUUUUACUUGAUUUUUAAAACCAUUCACUCCAAGCUGAAGAUGAACACCCCAGUCCACUCCCCCUGAACGAAUUGCCGCUCGUCUACUCAUCCCUACUCUUCUCUGUCCCCGUUCCCAUGGCGACCGCCUCAUAGCAGUGCUCCGACCCCGGUUCGGGCGAGCGUCUCGCAGGGGCGCAGUCGUAACCUUUGCCCGUUGAACUCAUGCGUUUGCGGUUGCGUGCGCCAGGCUGGGGCGCAGUCGUAACCUUUGCCUGUUGAACUCAUGCGUUUGCGGUUGCGUGCGCCAGGCUGGUAGAGCUGCAUGGCUGGUCGGUCCUAAAGAGGAAGCAGAGAGAGAGAGAGAGAGAGAGAGAGAGAGUAAGAAUCAGUCAUCCACCAGCUCAUAGCAGAGAAGAGAUCAUUAAGAUGUUUGAGAUUAUUCGUAUUAUGAUUUUUAUUAGUAUUACCAUUAUGAAUGAUCUUUUAUAAUAAUAAGGAGAAUGUUAAUAAAGCUGCCAGUGAAUGUGUUAGGCUUUGAAACUGAAUGAAGCAGUCUAAAUGGGGAUAUGCUAUAAACCAUUCCAGGUUUUGAAUGGGGCAACUAAUGGCAGGAAGUGGCCUUUAUUGUUGUGCAUAGAUUUGUUUUCACAUGAGUAGAGAGGUGAGGUGAACAUUUUCGCAAUGUUUAAAUGCAGAAGUCAAUCCAGUACAGAAAGAGACCAAGGCACGAAGGCAAUGGGUGCAGACGGUUGCCUUCAUGCCUUGCUCACAGAGUCACAGGACAAUCAUUAGUUGAGGAGAGGUCAGCAUCCGAUCACCAGUAUGAUUCUAAAAAGAAAGACAGUUCAGUAAAUGGUACUUCACAAUGGGUCAAAGUUAGCUUUUGUUGGGCCUAACAGCUGUAUCAACACUACUAGAGUUAGAAACAAUAAAGGCUAUGCAAAUAGGAAAAAAGAUUAUUUUUUAGCAGAAAGAAUAACAAAAGUUGACCUGGCUGCACGUUUCUACAUAGCAAUAUUCAAGAUCUACUGCAAUUUCAAUUUCAAAUUCUAUAUCGAUAAAAAAAUAUCAGUAAAUAAUAGGGGAAAAAGGGGGUUGCAUGGCCUCCUCCUGGUAUUCACCCUAAAGGAGAUCAAUAAGUAGAAGAACAACAAGAACAAGACAUUGAAAUAUGCUCCGCCCCCCCUCCAGCUCAUGCUCACCUUCUCGCUCACCUUGUUACGAAGGCGCUCCUUCCUGCUGGCCGGGUCUUCCCUGUCCUCCUUGCCCAGCUUGUCCCCUCCGUCUGGGCAAUAGGAGAAGCCGUGGUGGUGGCCCUCCUUCUUGGCCCGGUCCUGGCAGUAGCCCUUGCCCCACUUGGUUUCGUCUUUCCGCGCAUGAACUUGUCAAAGUCGUAGUGGUGCCGCUGGCGCUUACGCUCCUCGUCUUUGGCCCGGUGCUCCUUGUCUCUCUGCCUGCGGCCGUGCUGUUGCUGCAGUAAGUCUCUCUGCUCUUUGUCGCUCUCCGGCUGAACCCUGGUGGCCAGAGAUGAGGCAUGCAGCACAAAUGUACAAAUUAGUCAAACGAAUCAGGAUAUUUGAAUGAUUAAUUUGAUAAUGGGACUGAAUCGGCUGACCCCUAAUCACAUCUUUCUCAGCGCAACCCUCCUAUAUCCUAGCAGCAGAGGUUGUGAGAUAGAGUCCAGUAUUUGGACCACCAUCCUAACCUUUCCUUCGGUUCCACUGACUUCAUCUGUCCAACCGGUUUCUCCCAUUUGCUCCUGUCGGUCUCGGCGACUUCGCCUUUGUCCUUCAGACGGUCCGAGUCCACAUCGUCAUCCAUGUCACUUUUCUUCAGGAGCUGAAGCAGGAUACAUGAAAGCAAAAUGUUGAACGUUCUUUUUUUGUUGUAAAUAAAAUUAAAAGAUGAAGAGUUCAAGGUGUCACCUUUAUUUUGACUUCCUUCUCAGACAACUUCUUCUGCUUGUCCGCCUCCCUGCGUUUGCGUCGCUCCUCCUCUCUUCUCUUGCGCUUCUCCUCCUCCCUCUGUCGUUUUUUCUCGAGCUCUCGUCUCCUCCUCUCCUCUCGUUUCUCCUCUCUUAUCCUCUG